rnacentral:rRNA from 1 species
GAUGAACGCUGGCGGCGUGCCUAAUACAUGCAAGUCGAGCGAACCGACGAAGAUCUUUCCCCUCUGAAGUGAGCGGCGGGUGAGUGAGUAACACGUGGCUAACUUACCUAUGGGACUGGGGUCACGUCGCGGGCGCUGAGAUAAUACAAGAGCUGAUAUUGAACCGCAUGGUUCAAUCGUCACAUACCGCUUUGCUGUCACUUAGAGAGGUAUCCGAACCGCAUUAGCUAGUUGGUAAGGUAACGGCCUACCAAGGCGACGAUGCGUAGCCGACCUGAGAGGGUGAUCGGCCACACUGGAACUGAGACACGGUCCAGACUCCUACGGGAGGCAGCAGUAGGGAAUCUUACGCAAUGGGCGAAAGCCUGACGCAGCAAAGCCGCGUGAGUGAUGAAGGUCUUCGGAUCGUAAAGCUCUGUAAUUAGGGAAGAAGGAAUGUGUAAGUAACUAUGAACGUAUUGACGGUACCUAAAGAAAAAGCACCGGCUAACUACGUG